rnacentral:rRNA from 1 species
GACAGAGGGUGCAAACGUUGUUCGGAUUUACUGGGCGUAAAGCGUGUGUAGGCGGCUUUGCAAGUCGGAUGUGAAAUCCCACGGCUUAACCGUGGAAGUGCAUCCGAAACGGCAUCGCUUGAGUCCCGGAGAGGAAGGUGGAAUGCUUGGUGUAGAGGUGAAAUUCGUAGAUAUCAAGCAGAACACCUGCGGCGAAGGCGGCCUUCUGGACGGUGACUGACGCUGAGACACGAAAGCGUGGGGAGCAAACAGG